CAGACACUUGAUGUUAGUUUUGUUGAAAAUGAAUCUUAUAUAGAGAAGAUGAGCAGGGCCAGUGAGCAAGGAUGACACACAAAUUCUUGAAGUGAUCCAUACCCAA